CCCUUAGAUGUUCUGGGCCGCACGCGUGCUACACUGAGUGGAUCAGCGGGUCAGGUUGCGCGAAAGUGUUUCCUAAUCUUUAAAUCCGCUCGUGAUGGGGAUUGACGGUUGCAAUUUUCCGUCAUGAACGAGGAAUACCUUGUAAGCGCGGGUCAUCAUCCCGCGCUGAAUACGUCCCUGCCCUUUGUACACACCGCCCGUCGCUCCUACCGAUUGAGUGGUCCGGUGAGGCUUUGGGAUCUGGGCGGAAAGAGCGUUUCGCUGUUUCUGCCCGGAAAACUCAGUCGAACCUUAUCAUUGAGAGGAAGGAGAAGUCGUAACA
rnacentral:rRNA from 1 species